UAGAAUGGCUCAGUCGGUAGAGCGUGAGACUUGAUCUCAAGGUCGUGAGUUCGAGCCCCACAUUGGGCAAAA